rnacentral:pre_miRNA from 1 species
UGGACAGAUUAUUGUAUUCGACUGUAUUUGACUGUAUUCACGGCGUGAAACAGGGGAUUACACUGUUUUUAAACGAAAAGUGAAUCAAUUAACAUAAUAGACUCCU